rnacentral:rRNA from 1 species
UACGGGGGGUGCAAGCGUUGUUCGGAAUCAUUGGGCGUAAAGAGCGUGUAGGCGGCUUGAUAAGUCAGAUGUGAAAGCCCUGGGCUCAACCUGGGAAGUGCAUUUGAAACUGUCGUGCUUGAGUAGGGGAGAGGGAAGUGGAAUUCCUGGUGUAGAGGUGAAAUUCGUAGAUAUCAGGAGGAACACCGGUGGCGAAGGCGACUUCCUGGCCCUAUACUGACGCUGAGACGCGAGAGCGUGGGUAG